rnacentral:rRNA from 1 species
AUUGAACGCUGGCGGCAGGCCUAACACAUGCAAGUCGAGCGGAUGAGAGAAGCUUGCUUCUCGAUUCAGCGGCGGACGGGUGAGUAAUGCCUAGGAAUCUGCCUGGUAGUGGGGGACAACGUUUCGAAAGGAACGCUAAUACCGCAUACGUCCUACGGGAGAAAGCAGGGGACCUUCGGGCCUCGUGCUAUCAGAUGAGCCUAGGUGGGAUUAGCUAGUUGGUGAGGUAAUGGCUCACCAAGGCGACGAUCCGUAACUGGUCUGAGAGGAUGAUCAGUCACACUGGAACUGAGACACGGUCCAGACUCCUACGGGAGGCAGCAGUGGGGAAUAUUGGACAAUGGGCGAAAGCCUGAUCCAGCCAUGCCGCGUGUGUGAAGAAGGUCUUCGGAUUGUAAAGCACUUUAAGUUGGGAGGAAGGGUUGUAGAUUAAUACUCUGCAAUUUUGACGUUACCGACAGAAUAAGCACCGGCUAACUCUGUGCCAGCCGCCGCAGUAAGAC